rnacentral:misc_RNA from 1 species
AAGUCGUAACAAGGUUUCCGUAGGUGAACCUGCGGAAGGAUCAUUAACGAAUAUCUAUGGCGUUGGUUGUAGCUGGCUCCUAGGAGCAUUUGUGCACGCCCGUCAUUCAUAUCAUCUUUCCACCUGUGAACUAUGUGUAGAUCUGGAUAUCCCUCGCUUUGUAACGAAGCGGAUGCAAGGAUUGCUGCGUCGACAAGGCCGGCUCUCUUUGAAUUUCCAGGUCUAUGUCUUUUUACACACCCCAUUCGAAUGAUGUAGAAUGUAGUCAAUGGGCUUUCAAGCCUAUAAAACACUAUACAACUUUCAGCAACGGAUCUCUUGGCUCUC